UACGUAGGGGGCAAGCGUUAUCCGGAUUUACUGGGUGUAAAGGGAGCGUAGACGGCCAGACAAGUCUGAAGUGAAAAUCCAGCGCUUAACGUUGGAAGUGCUUUGGAAACUGCCGGGCUAGGGUGCAGGAGGGGCAGGCGGAAUUCCUAGUGUAGCGGUGAAAUGCGUAGGUAUUAGGAGGAACACCAGUGGCGAAGGCGGCCUGCUGGACUGCAACUGACGUUGAGGCUCGAAGGCGUGGGGAGCAAACAGG
rnacentral:rRNA from 1 species